GAAUAGAAGUUUGAGCAGGAGGAAAAUGGAGUCUGUGGAAGUUCUAGGAGAUAUUCUUACAGUUACUCAUUAGUUUUUUGGCAUUUAGCUUCUCGGUUACAUAUGGGAAAAUUGAGGGACAGCAAAUCACAAAGAGAGACUGGAGGUCCAGCUUAUUAGGAAACUUGAGUUUCUAGGAUGUGGCCACCAGCUUGUGUACAUCUUCGUUGAUUCUAAUGUUCACUGUGUUCCCCAAGAAUUAAUUUCUUCCAAGGGCCUACAUCAGUUUAGAGGUGUAGAACUUGGAGUAGGCAACGAGGUUGGGUGUGUGUUUUUCAUUAGUAGAUAUAUUAAUCUGCCCAGACAUGAGAUACACUAGCACUGUUCACAGCCUGAAAACACAGCUCUAAGAGUUUGUGGGUAACAGAACAUUAGUCUUACUUAGGUCUUUCUAAAUAUCUUCACUCCUUAGAGUAACUUUGAGUGUUUUCUGGAUUUGAGUUUGGCUCAUUAAAGUCUGAUUUCUACAUAAUUCAGAUACAUCCAGAGUUUUUUGUAUAAUACAUUUGAAAAUUUUCCCCUUAUGAGAUUAGACAAAUUUAUAACUGAAACAAAGUUCGUUAAACCUGUGCUAAAAUAUAAAAUUGUCUUUAAGAAAAGCCCAAACAGGUAGAAAGUGACAGUUUACUGUAUAAUUAUAAUGAUAAUUUGAAUGUAUUGAUAUUCAACAAUACAUGAUAUAAAAAUACAGUAUUUCCCAAGGUCACGAAUCAUUACCAAGUUUAAAUUUAUUUUAAAAUACAGCAGAUCCAUAGUUUUGUUCUUUGUAUUCAUCAUAGAAAUUUUUUGUGUAUUCUAUUUUGUUUUCUUUGCCUCAUUGAUUACUAGAUUCCGAAAACAGGACUGUGGGAAAGUAGAGAAGCUGAGCAUUUGAACCCAUUAACUUCAUCUCUCUUUUUGAGGAAAGCAAGCUAUUUAUUUUCGUAACUAGGGAGGCCUCAUAACCUGGGUUGCUGAGGACAUCCUGGUUUAUGCCUGUCAUCUUGGAGAAGUUAUUAAUAGUGUCGCCUUUCACUGUUCAAAAUCCUAGCUUGGAUGAUGAGUUCUAUGUGGUCACCCUUAUUAUCACUGAUAUAUUCUGUCCUUGAUUAUUUUAUGCUUUGAUUUUAAUAAUUCUGUAAGUGCAUUUUUGACUAUACUUUUCUGCAUUUUUAAAUUCUCUGAUGUUUUGGAAGGUAUAUCCUAUUUUAUUUCUAUUAAUAGCUGCUUUUUGUGUUUUUCAGAUCAUUCUUUAAAUGUAAGUCAGUACUGAAAUGUUCUCCUUUGUGUCCUACCAAUUUAAGACUUAGACAUUAUAAGUUAUUUGAGAAUGGCGCCGGAUUCAUUUUUGUGUCUCUGGCAGUAUUUAGUAAUCUGCUUUGGACAAAGUACUCAAGAAAUAUUUAUGGAAUGAAUCUUAGGAAGCAGUUUGGUUUUAUCAAAAUGAAGAGCGAAAUUUGGUCCAGUCUAGAAUGGUAUAGAUACCUCCCGAUAAAGGAACUGGGAUUGUGCUUGGGCUGAAGAUCCAAUCCGCCCAAUGGCACUACUGACCAAACCCAACUGUGGAAAAGAUUUCAAUGAUCUGUUUUAAACUCACCUAGGGACUCCCAAGUGAGUUUUCAGUAAAGUCUUCUUCAAUUAAAGUUCUUUCUCUAAGAUUACACUACUGCUAAGUAUAAAGACAAAGGAAUUUUCCAGUGCCAAGCAAAGACAGACAGAGAGUAGCCUGGUUCAGCCACUGUGGCUGCCCACCAUGUUAGUGACAGCACUGUUUUCCAGAAUGAGGAGAGUGAAGGCGGCGAGUUGGGUGGGAGAGCCCAAAUGCAACAAUAGUUUGCACGGCAUGUAAAGAGUUCUUGAAAGAGGUUGAAGAUUUUUGUAAGCACAUUCAAUUGAUUGAGCCAUGUGUAUUUCCAAAUAAUAGAUUUGUCCUCUUAAUUUAAAGGAGACAUAUAAUAGAAAGCUAGGUGUAGUCCCUAACAGUCAAUCACUUACGAGCCAGAGGAGGGAAGAAUGACCUUUUUCAGAAUUUAAGUUGCAAAAUACACCUUGUCCUCUGAUAGGCAGUUUACAGUGCCUGACAAAAUGAGUCAUCUUUUUGUUUUGCCAAAUUUUAUUCUAGCUAAGUGCCUCCAAGCUUAGGCAAAAUAAAGACAAGUUAACUGUUCUUAAAUGUAAUAAUGCCAUGGACUCUCAUGAAUAGAAGCCUUUGAUAACUAGAAAAUAGUUAUCUUUGACUUUGUGUUCAAAGUAUAGGGGUUGCUUAUCUAUAAAGCUGGAAGGGGAUAUAAUUGGUUAUAGAUAAGGAAGGAUGUGCAUGAAUUGAGUUCAGGUACUUUCUAAGUCCUAAGUUACUGCAUAGCUGCUUAAUACAGUGUCUAAUACCUGAUGGUGGUGCUCAGUAUGUAUUAAUGGAAUCCAAAUUUCUUUCUCCACCAAGAUCUCUGUCAAGUAUAUUUGAUCAUUAACUGUUCCAUUUUCAGGAUCCAGUAGUCACAAACUGUAGCAUAAUCCUAGGGUGUUUUAUCUUACAUUUUAAAAAAGUACGUAAUUUGAUUUUUUGUGUUUUAAAAGCAAUACCCAUUCUUUGUUAACAAAUUUAGCUGGUAGAUUUUUAUUUUGGUUUCACUCAUUUGAAUUUCAAAAGUUAUACAUGCUUAUUGUGAAAAUCCAGACAAUAAAGAAGUAUCCAAAUAACAGUCUCCUCAUCUUUGCCA
rnacentral:lncRNA from 10 species